rnacentral:misc_RNA from 1 species
GGUUUCCUCGGGUGACGAGAGUCCAUUACAUUGCCGAAACUGGCGAAAUCUGUGGUGAAAUCGUGCAUAGGAACCAUAGGACCAGAGCGCCUCUACAGGAUAAUUGAAGAUGACAAUACGAACUACUGAGGCAGCGUCCCAACAAGAUGAAUCCAUUCCAUAUAAUCCAGGAUCAUUCUUCAUGGGUUCAGAGGGAUGGCAUGUGGAACACCAUCCUGGAUAUCUACAAAGAUGAUGACGGAGCUCUUGAAACCUUGCGCCGUGUUCUCAAGUUUGACCCGUAUGCCUCCAGGUGUCACUCAAUUUGCUGAUUAUGCAGAAACAGAACGUGAUCAAACUAACAGUGGAGAUGUAUAGUGGUGCUGAACAUGCCAAGAGUUGCCUGUUGUGCCAUGAAACACAGUCACUAAUUAUUGUAAGAAGAUGCUUUAGAAUGGAGCAUCACAAAGCUCUUGCCCAAGGGAAAGGCUAUAAAAGCAUGGUAUGAUUCGUUUGUGGAAACAGGCUGUGUGGCACUUCGAGAGAAAGGGAAAGGUCAUCCAUGGAAGGCAGGCUCUCGUGCAUCUGGGAAGAAAUUGUGUAUGGCUGGAAUAUCUGCCAUGUGACAAGAGGAAGCCACAUGGAGCAUUUGUAGAAAGAAAGUUGAGGUUCUAUCAAUUUUGCAAAUGAGAAUCAAAUGGAUAAAGUUGUACAACAUAUCUGCAACGAGAAACCGUUUUGAAAGAGAACCAAACAAAAACUCUUAAGUAUAUUGAUAGCUUAUUACAUCAUCAUGUUACAGAUAUUUUGGAGUAAAUAUUAAUGUGUUCAUGUAAUUUAAUGUUAAACAGCAAGUAAACUGAUGUUCUGCUGAUUUUUGUUUGUUUCUAAUUAGUUUUUGGCUUAUUGGGCUCUCAUCAGGAAACAACUUACUAGUGUCUACAAGGUACGCUAGUUCUUAGGUAACCAAACAUUAUAAGCAGAUAUACAAUCCAGUUGCACAGCAUACUAUUUAUGUAGUAAAUUGAAAAUUGACAAUAAAGUAAGUUUUUAGUUUUU